rnacentral:rRNA from 1 species
AAGCAUCGCGCAGAACCUUACCAACCCUUGACAUGUCCACUAUGGUCUCCAGAGAUGGCGUCCUUCAGUUCGGCUGGGUGGAACACAGGUGCUGCAUGGCUGUCCUCAGCUCGUGUCGUGAGAUGUUGGGUUAAGUCCCGCAACGAGCGCAACCCCUACCGUCAGUUGCCAUCAUUCAAUUGGGCACUCUGGUGGAACCGCCGGUGACAAGCCGGAGGAAGGCGGGGAUGACGUCAAGUCCUCAUGGCCCUUAUGGGUUGGGCUACACACGUGCUACAAUGGCGGUGACAGUGGGAAGCGAAGUCGCGAGAUGGAGCCAAUCCCCAAAAGCCGUCUCAGUUCGGAUCGCACUCUGCAACUCGAGUGCGUGAAGUUGGAAUCGCUAGUAAUCGCGGAUCAACACGCCGCGGUGAAUACGUUCCCGGGCCUUGUACACACCGCCCGUCUCACCAUGGGAGUUGGUUUUACCCGAAGGUGGUGCGCUAACCGCAAGGAGGCAGCC